UACGUAGGGGACUAGCGUUAUCCGGAAUUACUGGGCGUAAAGGGUGCGUGGGUGGUUUCUUAAGUCAGAGGUGAAAGGCUACGGCUCAACCGUAGUAAGCCUUUGAAACUGGGGAACUUGAGUGCAGGAGAGGAGAGUGGAAUUCCUAGUGUAGCGGUGAAAUGCGUAGAUAUUAGGAGGAACACCAGUUGCGAAGGCGGCUCUCUGGACUGUAACUAACACUGAGGCACGAAAGCGUGGGGAGCAAACAGG
rnacentral:rRNA from 1 species